GACGAACGCUGGCGGCGUGCCUAAUACAUGCAAGUCGAACGGUGAAAGGAGAAGUUGGCUCUUUUGAUCUGAGGCGCGAACGGGUGAAUAACGUGUGUAUAACCUCCCUGAUACUGGGGGAUAACUUGUGGACACCGUCGCUAAUACCGUAUAAGACUGAGCUGCACAUGUCAUUUAUGUGAAAGAUUCCAUUGUUGCAGUGCAGGAUGGACGUUCGGUCUAUUAGUUAGGAGGUGAGGUAACAGCUCACCAAGGAGAAGACGGGUAGACAGCCUGAGAGGGGGACCGGGCACACGGGGACUGAGGAAGGGCCCAGACUGCUACGUGAGGCAGCAGGGGAGAACAUUGCACAAUAGGCGAAAGCCGGAUACAACGACGUCGCGUGAGGAAUGACGGCUUUCGGGUUAUAAACCGCUUUCAGCAGGAAAGAACCCAAAGUGACGGUACCUGCAGAGGAAGCACCGGCUAACUACGUG
rnacentral:rRNA from 1 species